rnacentral:lncRNA from 1 species
UUUGUAUUUGCUUCAACUCUCCCUGAUUGAUGAUGGGUACCUGAUGUUGUUGAGGACCCGAUUGCAUUAUUUUAUUAUUUUAUUAUUUUUUCUCUUUCUCUGAAUUGCCGUGUUUAAUCCCCCUCAAGAUUUUCAUUUAUUUAUUUUAUUUACUUAUUUUUGCCUCAUUAAAAUUGGCGUCGAUAUUUGGAAUCGGAUUACAGCAUUUGAAGCCUACGCUCUGGGAGCGACACACGAGGUUGCUUGAAUUCUUCCGCUUGUAUGAGUUUAAGUGGAUGUAGGAAGACGUGAUUUUUUCUACUAAUAGUGUCAGCGAAGAUUGUGACAUUUGGUACCAAAAAAUAUUUCAUAUCGUUAGGGCUACAUCAUAAUUAUGUUAAUGUUUUAUUAAGGGUGGAAAAUUAUUAAGUUUGUGCACAUUAAAAAAAUUACAAAUAACAAAAGUUUUGAAUUGAAGUUGUAACAAAAAUAAAUGGAAAUGGUUGCAAGUGUAAUUCUUCACCUGUAUGGUGUCUUAAAAAUACUAGAACUCAAUUUGUUCUCAAUGUUAGGGGUGGAGUAGUUUUCAUGUGUGGAAUAGCUGGGCUUGAAAUGAUCGAUAAACUUUAGAAAAUAACAUGAUCUUUUCGCUCAAUCACAUGGUGAAAUAGGCCAUUAGUGGAUUUUUGUUAACAAGAUGAACAUACGUUUCAUUUUUCUUUUUGGUCAUACAACAGAACAAUACGUUGCACAAAAGAAGCCUAGUACAAUUAUGGAAGAUUAAAUUAUACGGUUUCAAGCAGCAGUGGUGCUGCGUAAGACCUAUCAUUUAAUGCUCAUGCAGCUCUGAAUACAGAACCUUUUAAUGUAUUUCCAACUAUACCAUGUUCAUGUCCAACUCAAUCUAGAAGCAUGUAAAAAAGAAACAUAAAAAAUCAACAUUUGAGUUUCUAGCAAUCAAAAUGGACACUGAAUACAAAAGAUUGCAGUGUGAGGAAAAGACAAUCUGAUUCUGUAUUAAAAAAAGAAAAGAAAAUAAAAUCAUUUCAGCUGUCGUGGUGUAUAUGAUAUCUGCGGUUUCGACAUCAUUCUCGUGAGAUAAAAAUAACUGUUCUGACUAAAAACUGCUUUGUAGUUUCUGGCAGGGGAUUAGGUGGCCCAGAUGCCACAUCAAUGUAUAAUACAAAAUCUCCAGCAGAUGUCGAAGUUCAAUCCAAGAGUUCAGUUAGACUCUUCCCUAUUCAAUGCAGUAAUUGUUAUAUCUAGUUUCUCCAGCUCCUCGC